CCGAAAGGGAUGUGAAAGGGAGGCCCCCAACCGCGGUGCCGCUGGGCGGGUGGUCACACGGAGAAAAAGGAGAGCGGCCCCCCAGGGUGGGGGUCGAUAGGAGGGCUCACCGGCCCGGCCAAGCGGCAUCUCCAGGCGGCCUGUUGGUUUCCCAGGCGCCUCCUCAUCACCAGCCGGACCUUCUUCCCCGCCCCCUUGUCCCGGGCGCGCCUCUGGCGCCGUUGGGGAGGGGGUCCCAGGUGCGCCUCGCACGGGGUCCAGCUGUCUGUCCUGCCUCCCUCGGUCAGCGCGGCUGAGCGGGGACAUUGCGGGAGGCAGACACAACCACGUGUGCACCGGCUGGAGGCCGACGCGCGACCUCCUGACUCCUCCAGAGCUCUGGGUCUCCGGGAUUUGGGGGCCGACGUCCGCGGGGGACACACCCCCCGUCUCCCUGCACCAAUGGCAAUGCGGGCAUGGCAUGCCCCUGUUCCAGCAGCGAAGGGCCGGCCCCUCGCGCCCGACGCACAUUCCCGGCAGGGCCGUGCGUGGGACCGUGCCUGGGGGGCCGACGGGGGUGCGGCUUCCUCAGCGCCCUUGCGCGGGGCCCUGCUUCUGAACGUACAACACGACAAGGACGCCAGGAAACCUUGUUUGCUUUGGGCACCGAACCGCGCGCUCCGGAGUUCCGCCUCCUCCCCAGCGAGUGUGAACCGAGCCCUGCAGACCAGAGGGACUCACCUGUGCCCACUGUCCUGUCCCGUGGGCAGGUUCCAGCCGCCAAGGAUAAAGCAACCCCCUGGCAAGAGUCAAGGCUUUUAGACGAUCUGGUGCAUACCUCUCUUCCAGAUCAGCCUUCAUUGGAUGAAUGCAUCCAAGGCCAUGGAGUGCAUUUGACACCUUUUUGUGAAUAUUCAUCUCUGAGCUCGGGGUGGAAACAUCUCGGCUGAACGGAAGAAGAUGGUAAACAGUUAAGCUCCGAGGUCCACGCGGCGUCUGUUGAGAUCCCUCGACUCUGCGGUUGUCAUGAACGCGGCCGGAGGCGACGUGUGACCAAGUGGGUACAGCGGUGUGCCAAUAAAACUUUAUUGACAAAAGCAA